AUUGAACGCUGGCGGAAUGCUUUACACGUGCAAGUCGAACGGCAGCACGGACUUCGGUCUGGUGGCGAGUGGCGAUCGGGUGAGUAAUGUAUCGGAACGUGCCCAGUCGUGGGGGAUAACGUAGUGAAAAUUACGCUAAUACCGCAUACGAUCUAUGGAUGAAAGCGGGGGAUCGCAAGACCUCGCGCGAUUGGAGCGGCCGAUAUCAGACUAGGUAGUUGGUGGGGUAAAGGCCCACCAAGCCAACGAUCUGUAGCUGGUCUGAGAGGACGACCAGGCACACUGGAACUGAGACACGGUCCAGACUCCUACGGGAGGCAGCAGUGGGGAAUUUUGGACAAUUGGCGAAAGCCUGAUCCAGCCAUUCCGCGUGCAGGAUGAAGGCCCUCGGGUUGUAAACUGCUUUUGUACAGAACGAAAAGGUUUCUACUAAUACUAGGAGCUCAUGACGGUACUGUAAGAAUAAGCACCGGCUAACUACGUGCCAGCCGCCGCCGUAA
rnacentral:rRNA from 1 species